UACGUAGGGUGCAAGCGUUGUCCGGAAUUAUUGGGCGUAAAGAGCUCGUAGGCGGUUUGUCGCGUCGAAUGUGAAAACCCGGGGCUCAACCCCGGGCCUGCAUUCGAUACGGGCAGACUAGAGUUCGGUAGGGGAGUCUGGAAUUCCUGGUGUAGCGGUGAAAUGCGCAGAUAUCAGGAGGAACACCGGUGGCGAAGGCGACUCACUGGCCCGUUACUGACGCUGAGGCGCGAAAGCGUGGGGAGCAAACAGG
rnacentral:rRNA from 1 species